UCCAAUUGACUUAUUUCACUCAGCAUAAUACCCUCCAGGUCCCUCCACGUUGAAGCAAAUGAACUGUGUGAUCAUCACUACAAUCAAUUUUAGAACAUUUCAUCACCCCAAACGAGAAGCCGACAAGAAACUUAAGUGCUUCAAAGGAAGUGAAUAGACAUUCAUAAAAUGGGAGAAAAUAUCUGUAAAUCAUGUACCUGAUAAAGGUCUGGUAUCCAGAAUACAAAACGAACUAUUAUAACUCAA